CUGCAACCCAUCAUUUUGAAAACACUAUCCAAGAAAGUAAUGGUUGUUUUUUGUUUGUUUGUUUUUUUGAGAUGGAGUUUCACUCGUGUUGCCUAGGCUGGAGUACAAUGGUGUGAUCUUAGCUCACUGCAACCUCCACCUCCCAAGUUCAAGCAAUUCUGCCUCAGCCUCCUGAGUAGCUGGGAUUACAGACUCCCACCACCAUGCCCGGCUAAUUUUUGUAUUUUUAGUAGAGAUGGGGUUUCACUGUGUUGGGCAGGCUGGUCUCAAACUCCUGACCUCAGGUAAUCCACCCACCUAGACCUCCCAAAAUGCUGGAAUUACAGGCGUGAGCCACCAUGCCCGGCCAUGGUUGGUUUUUUUGAGACCACUUUAUAUUUAGGCCAAAUAGGUAUGUGUGUGAUGGGGGUGGAGAGGAUGACAAGUAGAAUGAAGGAGUGAUGUUUCACUUUGCCAGACUUUAAAUUAAUUACAUUGCAUGGAGCUCUAUUAUGCAAUACUCUCUCCAUACUGCUGAAAAAAAUAAUCUGCAACUUACAAUUUGAUCCUUGAGUUACCAACCAGUAACACUUGUUCUUUACACCCUUUCUCAUUCCCUAAGUCAUUAGAAAGCACCAGUUCUAACUCCAAAUGAUGACAUGGUCUUAUUUUAUCUAUUAACCAUAAGCUUACAGAUUCUAGUGAAGAAAAAACUUUAGGAGGCUACAUGGUCUAUUGGAGAGUGUAGGCUCUGCAGUCAGAAGAUCCCUACCCAGGCUUCUGUCUUUCUCAGUAAGACUUGGGACCACAGCAAGGUCCGCAAUCUCCUGAGGCUCUGUUUUCUAUGGUUGGGAUAACAUGAAGGAGUAACAGCAGCAAACAGUAGGAGAGAAGAUGCCAAGUUAGAAGUGCAUAUAGCUCUCUUCCACAGGAGGCCUACAUGCCGCCACUUGUGCUGCCGCCAUGUCUCUAGUGAUCCCUGAAAAGUCCCAGCAUAUUUUGCCGAGUAGUCAACACCAACAUUGAUGGGUGGCGGAAAAUGGCCUUUGCCAUCACUGCCGUUAAGGGUGUGGGCCGAAGAUAUGCUCAUGUGGUGUUGAGGAAAGCAGACACUGACCUCACCAAGAGGGCGGGAGAACUCACUGAGGAUGAGGUGGAACAUGUGAUCACCAUUAUGCAGAAUCCACACUAGUACAAGAUGCCAGCCUGGUUCUUGAACAGACAGAAGGAUGUAAAGGAUGGAAAAUAUAGCCAGGUCCUAGCCAAUGGUCUGGACAACAAGCUCUGUGAAGACCUGGAGCGACUGAAAAAGAUUCGGGCCCGUAGAGGGCUGCGUCACUUCUGGGGCCUUCGUGUCCGAGGCCAGCACACCAAGACCACAGGCUGCCGUGGCCGCAUCGUGGGUGUGUCUAAGAAGAAAGAGGUAAAGAAUCAUUAGAGCUGUCUCAAACAUUCACCAUUUCAAACAGAAGACGAACAAGCUUCUCAGAUUCUCCUCUGUAUUUGGAAGUCAAAGUUGAUGAAGAGACAUUGAAGAAUGUUGUCUUGCAUUCUGUAGCUACUGCUUUAGCAAGGAGCGUCUUCCCCGUGCCAGGUGGGCCGACCAUCAGUACUCCCUGUUGCGAAUAUAAUAGCCUCAGCAGAGGAUUUAUCUGCCAUUGUUCUAAUUCAUAAAAGUGUCAUUACUAAGUAGCAAAUUUCGACCAACUUAUAUAUAAUAUCAAGACAAAUAAAAGACAAAC
ensembl:lncRNA novel transcript